rnacentral:rRNA from 1 species
AUGAACGCCUAGCGAAUUAGGCUUAAACACACGUGCCAAGGUCGAGGGGGCAUCACGAGGUAGCAAUACUUUGGUGGCGACCGGCGUACGGGGUGCGUAAACACGUAUGCAACCUUCCUGUAAGUGUGGGAUAGCCUCCUGAAAGGGAGAUUAAUACCUCAUGAUAUGUAUUUGCUGCAUGGCAUUUACAUUAAACAUUUAUGGCUUACAGAUGGGCAUGCGUUCCAUUAGGCAGUUGGUGUGGUAACGGCUCACCAAACCUACGAUGGAUAGGGGUUCUGAGAGGAAGGUCCCCCACACUGGAACUGAGACACGGUCCAGACUCCUACGGGAGGCAGCAGUGAGGAAUAUUGGUCAAUGGGCGCGAGCCUGAACCAGCCACGUCGCGUGAAGGAUGACGGCCUUAUGGGUUGUAAACUUCUUUUACAGGGGAAUAAAGUGAGUCACGUGUGAUUUUUUUGCAUGUACCCUGUGAAUAAGCAUCGGCUAACUCCGUG